rnacentral:rRNA from 1 species
UAGGGAAUCUUCCGCAAUGGACGCAAGUCUGACGGAGCAACGCCGCGUGAGUGAAGAAGGAUUUCGGUUCGUAAAACUCUGUUGUUAGAGAAGAACAGCGCAUAGAGUAACUGUUAUGCGUGUGACGGUAUCUAACCAGAAAGCCACGGCUAAAUACGUGCCAGCCGCCGCGGUAAUACGUUGGUGGCAAGCGUUGUCCGGAUUUAUUGGGCGUAAAGCGAGCGCAGGCGGUCAAUUAAGUCUGAUGUGAAAGCCCCCGGCUCAACCGGGGAGGGUCAUUGGAAACUGGUUGACUGGAGUGCAGAAGAGGAGGGUGGAAUUCCAUGUGUAGCGGUGAAAUGCGUAGAUAUAUGGAGGAACACCAGUGGCGAAGGCGACUCUCUGGUCUGUAACUGACGCUGAGGCUCGAAAGCGUGGGUAGCAAACAGG